rnacentral:lncRNA from 1 species
CAAUGGUACUCGACGUCUGCAUAGGUCGAAUAGUCGCAAUCGCAACAUUCAGAACCUACGCGAAUAUGGUUACUGUAUAAUUCAUCCCUUUUGACCCCUGUGUAUAGGACGACUCAGGGUUAAACUAUCAACCUUGAUCAGAUCUUUCGAAUCAUGCUCAACUCAAACAGUCCUGUGACUUUUCACUAGGACUACCCUGGCCA